UACAGAGGUCCCAAGCGUUGUUCGGAUUCACUGGGCGUAAAGGGUGCGUAGGCGGUCGGGUAAGUCUGGCGUGAAAUCUCCAAGCCUAACUUGGAAACUGCGUUGGAUACUAUCCGGCUCGAGGAAUGGAGGGGAGACUGGAAUACUUGGUGUAGCAGUGAAAUGCGUAGAUAUCAAGUGGAACACCAGUGGCGAAGGCGAGUCUCUGGACAGGUCCUGACGCUGAGGCACGAAAGCCAGGGGAGCAAACGGG
rnacentral:rRNA from 1 species